rnacentral:rRNA from 1 species
UACGGAGGGUGCAAGCGUUGCUCGGAAUCACUGGGGCGCAAAAGCGCACGCAGGCGGCUAUUCAAGUCGGAUGUGAAAGCCCCCGGGCUCAACCCCGGGGAACUGCAUUCGAAAACUGGAUGGCUUGAGUUCGAGAGAGGGGUGGUGGAAUUCCUGGUGUAGAGGUGAAAUUCGUUGAUAUCAGGAGGAACAUCGGCGGCGAAGGCGGCCACCUGGCUCGAUACUGACGCUCAUGUGCGAAAGCGUGGGGAGCAAACAGGAUUAGAUACCCGCGUAGUCC